GAUGAACGCUGGCGGCGUGCCUAAUACAUGCAAGUCGAGCGGUAAGGCCCUUCGGGGUACACGAGCGGCGGACGGCUGAGUAACACGUAGGAACGUACCCCAAACUGAGGGAUAAGCACCAGAAAUGGUGUCUAAUACCGCAUGUGCUCUUCGGAGUAAAGCUUCGGCGGUUUGGGAACGGCCUGCGUCCGAUUAGCUAGUUGGCGGGGUAAAUGCCCACCAAGGCGACGAUCGGUAGCUGGUCUGAGAGGAUGAUCAGCCAGACUGGGACUGAGACACGGCCCAGACUCCUACGGGAGGCAGCAGUAGGGAAUUUUCCACAAUGGACGAAAGUCUGAUGGAGCAACGCCGCGUGCAGGAUGAAGGCCUUCGGGUUGUAAACUGCUUUUCUGAUUGACGAUUAUGACGGUAGGUCAGGAAUAAGGGUCUGCUAACUACGUGCCAGCAGCCGCCGUAACAC
rnacentral:rRNA from 1 species